GAAAUGCGAUAAGUAGUGUGAAUUGCAGAAUUCAGUGAAUCAUCGAAUCUUUGAACGCACAUUGCGCCCCUUGGUAUUCCAUGGGGCAUGCCUGUUCGAGCGUCAUUUGUACCCUCAAGCUCUGCUUGGUGUUGGGUGUUUGUCCCCGUCUCCGCGCGUGGACUCGCCCCAAAGUGAUUGGCAGCCGGCGUACUGGUCCCGGAGCGCAGCACAUGUCGCGCAAACGUGUGCCUUGGUACGGCGGCGUCCAUAAGCCCCUCUCUCACGCUCUUGACCUCGGAUCAGGUAGGGAUACCCGCUGAACUUAAGC
rnacentral:misc_RNA from 1 species